UGGGGGGCAUGUUGUGGGCAGACUGUGGGGAGACCUUCCUUAAUAGUCCAACAUUAGGCAACUCUGGUGUGUGCAUGUGCUUAAGAGGGAUACGAGCACACAUUUCCUCACGAGGUGCUUUUUGCCCAAAGGACGAAAGACAAAACCGUGAGGCCGUGUGCGUGAUGCUGGGUCGGGGAGGUACAAUCCCCGGUGGAGCCUGAUCAGAAGCUCCAGGGACAUCCCCC
rnacentral:lncRNA from 1 species